rnacentral:rRNA from 1 species
GACGAACGCUGGCGGCGUGCUUAACACAUGCAAGUCGAACGAUGAAGCCGGAGCUUGCUCUGGUGAAUUAGUGGCGAACGGGUGAGUAACACGUGAGUAACCUGCCCUUGACUCUGGGAUAACUGCGGGAAACUGUAGCUAAUACCGGAUACGACCCUCGGAGGCAUCUCCUGGGGGUGGAAAGAAUUUCGGUCAAGGAUGGACUCGCGGCCUAUCAGCUAGUUGGUGAGGUAAAGGCUCACCAAGGCGACGACGGGUAGCCGGCCUGAGAGGGUGACCGGCCACACUGGGACUGAGACACGGCCCAGACUCCUACGGGAGGCAGCAGUGGGGAAUAUUGCGCAAUGGGCGCAAGCCUGAUGCAGCAACGCCGCGCGAGGGAUGACGGCCUUCGGGUUGUAAACCUCUUUUAGCAGGGAAGAAGCGAAAGUGACGGUAUCUGCAGAAAAAGCACCGGCUAACUACGUGCCAGCCGCCGCGGUAA